AAACCAUGAUGGGGGCAGAGCCCUAUCAUGUCCUUAUGUCUCUUCCAUGACUCAAAAAGGGAUUCAUCGCCAGGUUAUCUAAAACAAGUUAUCUGGUUUCGUAACAUU